UCGCUGUUUUCAUUUGGUUAUUUUUUUCCCCUUUUUGUCAUAGGACCAACCCAGAAUAGAAUCAUGAGUUGCAGGAAAUAUCGAGAGUGUGAUAUCAGUGGAGCUGGAUCCUUUGCUGAGGACUCUCCUGGUACCUCCACAGCCAUUCCUGGUGGGAAGCCAGAGCCAACCCGUGCCCCACUUUUUGGUGUGCGUGCAGCACCCACCUGCUUUCUGCUGCCAUGAAUGCAAUGUUUAGAUACCACUGGAGAGGCGCUCGGGCUCUGGUAGCAUUUGUUUCCACCCACCUUCUCCAGUUUGCUCCAUGAAAGCCAUCGGCUGCCUCGCACAGACCGGGAGCUCCUUCUGCAUGGAGCUGUGGGACAGUGAUGGGAGGAGGAGGAGCAGGAGCAGGAGCAGGAGCAGGAGCAGGAGCUGGAGCUGGAGCUGGAGCUGGAGCUGGAGCGAGGCUGCUCCCCAGGAGCCUCAGGAGUCGCUUGGGGCUGAAGAGCGAGGAGAAGCUCGUUUGUUAUGCAAAUAUCUGCUUCGGCCUGGCCUGGCAUAGGCAGUGGAAAGCUCUUGAAUUAUUUUAAGCAGAGGACAAAAGUUCUUUCCCUCCCCCUAUCAUCUUGGAUCCUUAUUAAAACAAAACAAAACAGAAACCUCUGUGUGAACCAUCUGAGGAUGAUCAGUGCUGUGCUUUGCUGGCAAGAGCGGUGUGGCCAGGAGUGCACAGGCGCAGGGAAAUAGAACAAUUAAGACAAAAAAAAAUGCAUUGGAGGCAGACAGGCUUUAUUUUGUUUGGAUGGCAGCACAAACGAAGCACCUUCCAGCCUUAUCGCCACCAGCAUGCUAGGGGCAGGCAGGCCACAGGGGGACUGGGCUGUCACUGGGCGACCGGCUGAGGCACGGCCACCUGCGGCAGGGAGGGCACUGGGCAGCCGUUCCCGGGAGCCACUCGGGAUGGUUGGUUUUAUGGCUGGUUUGGUGGGAGGCUGGGUUAGAUGGCUGGUUUGGGUGCAUGAAACACAACUCGAGGAGCCACCCAUGCGUGUCUUAGAGGACAGGGCUGUCCCACCAUGGAACGAUGCGGG
ensembl:lncRNA